GAUGAACGCUGGCGGCGUGCCUAAUACAUGCAAGUCGAGCGAACAGAUGAGAAGCUUGCUUCUCUGAUGUUAGCGGCGGACGGGUGAGUAACACGUGGGUAACCUACCUAUAAGACUGGGAUAACUCCAGGAAACCGGGGCUAAUACGGGAUAAUAUUUUGAAUCGCAUGGUUCAAUAGUGAAAGACGGUUUCGGCAGUCACUUAUCGAUGGAACCGCGCCGUAUUAGCUAGUUGGUAAGGUAACGGCUUACCAAGGCGACGAUACGUAGCCGACCGUAGAGGGUGAUCGGCCACACUGUGACUGAGACACGGUCCAGACUCCUACGGGAGGCAGCAGUAGGGAAUCUUCCGCAAUGGGGGAAAGCCUGACGGAGCAACGCCGCGUGAGUGAUGAAGGUCUUCGGAUCGUAAAACUCUGUUGUUAGGGAAGAACAAAUUUGUUAGUAACUGAACAAGUCUUGACGGUACCUAACCAGAAAGCCACGGCUAACUACGUGCCAGCAGCCGCCGUAA
rnacentral:rRNA from 1 species